AACGCACCUUGCACUCCUUGGUAUUCCGAGGAGUACGCCUGUUCGAGUGUUAUGAAGCUCUCAAAACGCAAUUGGCUUAAAACCUGAUUGUUGUUUUGGAUUUGAACUUUGCCGUGUUAUAACGGCUGGUUUUAAAAGUAUUAGCUGGUACUAGAACGAAUUGGUUCUACUCAACGUGAUAAUUAUCUGAUCGUUGAGGAUAUUCCUUUCACGAGGAAUGGCCAUAGUAAAUUCAAUGGACUGCUUCUAAUCUGGCUUUAAUUCUUUAUUGGAUUAACCACUUUUCAAAUCUGACCUCGAAUCAGGUGGGACUACCCGCUGAACUUAA
rnacentral:misc_RNA from 1 species